AGAGCCCACCCUGUACCCCAGACAUGGAGCCGGACAGCGAGAGAUUCCUACUUGGCCUGUCCAAAUGACGCCUAAAGAAAGAGGGUGAUGAAGCCCCCUGCCAAAGCCUAGGUGUUCAGAGCGUGAAGCAGUAUUUCGAGCUGUUGCUACAAUCCCCUUGCCUGGUGCCACACUACAGCCCAGCCAUGUACGGGAGCGCUCGCACUAUCACCAACCUGGAAGGGAGCCCUUCCAGAUCACCUCGAUUGCCAAGGUCACCACGACUUGGCCACAGGCGAACGAGCAGUGGCGGCGGCGGCGGUGGAGGAGCCGGGAAGACAUUGUCUAUGGAGAACAUCCAGUCCCUCAAUGCAGCCUAUGCAACUUCUGGACCCAUGUACCUGAGCGAUCAUGAAGGGGUGGCUUCGACAGCAUACCCGAAAGGCACGAUGACUCUUGGAAGGGCUACUAAUCGAGCGAUGUACGGAGGAAGGGUCACCGCCAUGGGUAGCAGCCCCAAUAUCGCUUCUGCUGGCCUCACCCAUACCGAUGUCCUCUCUUACACCGACCACAUAGGCAUAUCCAGCGCUGCUCACCAUCACCACCAUCACCACCAAGUUCCUUCCAUGCUAAGACAAGUUAGAGACAGCACCAUGCUGGACCUCCAAGCCCAGCUGAAGGACCUGCAGAGAGAAAACGAGCUUCUUAGGAAAGAACUGGACAUUAAAGACAGCAAGUUGGGUUCCUCCAUGAACAGCAUCAAAACGUUCUGGAGUCCUGAGCUGAAGAAGGAAAGAGUUCUUCGAAAGGAAGAGGCGGCCAGGAUGUCUGUGCUGAAGGAGCAGAUGAGAGUGUCCCACGAAGAAAAUCAGCUAAUGGAUCCCAGGAAAACAAAGCAUCUACAGUUAACCAUCCAAGCUCUUCAGGAUGAGCUGAGGACUCAGAGGGACCUCAACCAUCUCCUGCAGCAGGAAAGCGGGAACAGAGGGGCCGAGCACUUCACCAUAGAGCUCACCGAAGAGAACUUCCGAAGGCUUCAGGCGGAACACGACAGACAGGCCAAAGAACUCUUCCUCCUCCGCAAAACCCUAGAAGAAAUGGAACUGAGAAUCGAGACGCAAAAACAGACACUAAGCGCUAGAGAUGAGUCCAUAAAGAAGCUCCUGGAAAUGUUGCAGAGUAAAGGGUUGCCCUCAAAAGGAAUGGAAGAAGACAACGAGAAGACGCGGCGUAUGGUGGAGGCAGAGUCCCAGCUGAAUCAUUUGGAGGUGCUUUUAGACCAAAAGGAUAAAGAAAACAUUCACCUGAGAGAGGAGCUGCACCGACGGAACCAACUCCAGCCCGAGACGGCCAAGACCAAGGCUCUGCAGACGGUCAUCGAGAUGAAGGACACCAAAAUCGCUUCCCUCGAACGGAACCUCCGAGACCUCGAAGACGAAAUCCAGAUGAUCAAAACGAACGGGGUCCUCAGCACCGAAGACCGCGACGAAGAAUUAAAGCAAAUGGAAGUUUACAAAAACCAUUCCAAGUUCAUGAAAAGCAAGAUUGACCAACUGAAGCAAGAACUGUCAAAGAAGGAAUCCGAGCUGCUUGCCUUACAAACAAAACUGGAUACGCUCGGCAAUCAGAAUUCCGAUUGCAAGCAACACAUCGAAGUCCUUAAGGAAUCGCUUACUGCCAAAGAACAGAGAGCGGCGAUCCUCCAGACAGAGGUGGACGCGUUAAGACUGAGACUAGAAGAAAAAGAGUCUUUCCUCAACAAAAAAACCAAACAGCUUCAGGACCUGACGGAAGAGAAAGGGACCCUGGCGGGCGAGAUCCGGGACAUGAAGGAUAUGUUGGAGGUCAAAGAACGCAAAAUUAACGUUUUGCAGAAAAAGAUCGAAAAUCUCCAGGAACAGCUCAGAGACAAAGACAAGCAGCUCGGAAACCUGAAGGAUCGAGUGAAGUCGUUGCAGACGGAUUCUAGUAACACCGACACGGCGUUGGCCACUCUGGAAGAGGCGCUUUCGGAGAAGGAGAGAAUAAUUGAGCGCUUAAAAGAACAAAGGGAGAAAGAUGAUCGUGAAAGACUGGAAGAGAUUGAAAACUACAAAAAAGAAAAUAAAGACCUCAAAGAGAAAAUCAACGCUUUACAGGCUGAACUCAACGAAAAGGAGUCGAGUUUAAUCGACCUGAAAGAACACGCGUCCUCCUUGGCCUCGUCGGGAAUGAAGAGAGACUCCAAAUUAAAAUCUCUGGAAAUGGCCAUCGAACAAAAGAAAGAGGAAUGUAACAAGCUGGAGGCUCAGCUGAAAAAGCAAGCGGAGCAAUUGUUCAAUCAGAUGUACAACCCUGCGCCGGGUAGGAGUAAUGACACGCAGGGGGCCCACGAAGCGGAGGAAGACCCGAGAAUAAACCCAGAACUCACAGACCGGCUGAAGCAGCUGGAUAACGACGUCUGUUACUACCGGGAGGAGUGCGGAAAAGCCCAGGCCGAGGUGGACAGACUUCUCCAGAUCCUGAAGGAGGUCGAGAACGAGAAGAAUGAUAAAGACAAGCAAAUUGCUGAGCUGGAAAGGCUCAUGAAAGAUCAGAACAAGAAGGCGUCCAACGUCAAGUACAACCAACAAGCCGAGAAGAAGAAAAACGCGCAGCUUAUGGAAGACACCCGGAGGAGAGAUGACAACAUCCCGGAUAACUCUCAGCACAUGCAGAUGGAGGAGCUCCUAGACGCCCUCGAAAAGUCAAAGCAAGAACUGGAUUCCACCAAAUCGCGACUUUCCUCAACUCAACAAACGCUCGCUGAGAAGGAAGCGCACCUGGCCAACCUGAGGAUGGAGCACAGGAAGCAGCUGAAGGAGAUCCUCGACAUGAAACAAGAAGCUCUCCUGGCCGCAAUCAGCGAAAAGGACGCUAACAUCGCCUUGCUCGAAAUAUCCGGCUCAAAGAAGAAGAAGUCGCAAGAAGAUAUCAUUGCUCUGAAGAGAGAGAAGGACAGACUCGUCUACCAGUUAAAACAGCAGACGCAGAACAGAAUGAAACUGCUGGCGGACAACUUCGAAGACGAUCAUCAUCACCACCACCACCAUCAUCAUCACCACCAUCGUUUUCCUGGGAGAAUACAGCAAUCCAACCACAGGCCCUCUCCUGACCAGGACGACGAGGAGGGCAUAUGGGCCUAAGAGCUCCUGAAGACCAAAGUUCCAAGUUUAUUUCGAGGGAUGACCCCAUCUCUGCUGGAGGCACACGGUCACGACCAGAUCUCACGCUAUACAUUGAUCACCUUUCCAACCUUUGUCUGAAUCCCCAGAGCUUCCACCUUUACCGCUAGUUAGAGAGAGAGAGGAAAGAGAGGAGGAGAUGAAAGACAUCUAAUGAAAAAAAAAGAGUAACAGAGUUUUAACACCAGAAAAGGAAGAUGCAGGACAAAGACCUGAAGAAGAUCACCGACUUCCCAGCAGAAACGCUUUGGGCCGCUGUGGCCGUCGCGU